rnacentral:rRNA from 1 species
UGCAGUCGAGCGAAUGGAUUAAGAGCUUGCUCUUAUGAAGUUAGCGGCGGACGGGUGAGUAACACGUGGGUAACCUGCCCAUAAGACUGGGAUAACUCCGGGAAACCGGGGCUAAUACCGGAUAACAUUUUGAACCGCAGGUUCGAAAUUGAAAGGCGGCUUCGGCUGUCACUUAUGGAUGGACCCGCGUCGCAUAGCUAGUUGGUGAGGUAACGGCUCACCAAGGCAACGAUGCGUAGCCGACCUGAGAGGGUGAUCGGCCACACUGGGACUGAGACACGGCCCAGACUCCUACGGGAGGCAGCAGUAGGGAAUCUUCCGCAAUGGACGAAAGUCUGACGGAGCAACGCCGCGUGAGUGAUGAAGGCUUUCGGGUCGUAAAACUCUGUUGUUAGGGAAGAACAAGUGCUAGUUGAAUAAGCUGGCACCUUGACGGUACCUAACCAGAAAGCCACGGCUAACUACGUGCC